rnacentral:lncRNA from 1 species
GUGGAAUAUCCUUUGAACUGCUCCACCAAUCUAGUGAAUCUAGAGAUAGAUCCACCGUUUUGGUGUAUCAAUCUACGGUGGAGCUGUGGAAGUGUGUGGCUAGCAAAACUGAAUCUAAAUCAUUUUUGAUGAAUUUAGAGCCGGUGGAGCUCUAGCAAACACAUGCACAGCAUGCACGACGCCAAUUUGGAGGUAGAUUGGGAGGAGCUGCUCCGAGGAAGCUAGAAGCAGAGAUUGAGGACGCCUUGACAGGG